rnacentral:pre_miRNA from 1 species
AAAAGUUAACUUUGUAUGGAGUUGGAACGUUUGCCUACGUUUGCCGCUAGGGACGCUGUUCCAACUGCACACAGAUUUGAGUUA